GGGGAUUUAGCUCAGUGGUAGAGUGCUUGCCUAGGAAGCGCAAGGCCCUGGGUUCAGUCCCCA
rfam:Rattus norvegicus chromosome 5, whole genome shotgun sequence.